AUAAAUAAUAUUCAUAAUUAUAAUUAUAUAUUUUUAUAUAAACAAAAUUAAGUAGUAAUAUAAAAGUUAUAUUAUAAUAUUUAAUACUAUUCUUAAAACUAAAAUUGAUGUGUCAUUCGAUAACACAGUGAAUCAAUCAAUAUAUGAUUUUGAAAUUUGAAUGAAAUUAUAAAACUAAUUUAUUUUGAAAUUGUAAAAUUUUUUUAGAUUCUAUUGGUGCAUUAUCUAUUAAAUUGAUGAAGGCUUCAGUAAACCCUAAGAACUAUAAUUAUUGUCGCUGGUUUUUAAUGUUAAAACCUAAAAUAACUCUUAGAUCAGCGGACGUCCGUGAUUGUUAAGUAAUUUGGUUUUCGGGCCCAGGAAUAGUCAUAAUUCGGUUUAAAGAGAGAGAGAGAGAAAAAACUGAGAAGUUCGUCACGUGGUACUAUUACACGACUGGGCCUUCAGCCAUUCUGUAAGCUUUGCAAUAGUGUAUAAUAAACCUACACACAGCUCUAAAACGAGCCACCACUAAUGGUCGUGUAUAAUAAAUUGCCGAUGCGUAAAAAAAGGGUCUAAAAAUAUGCCAACCGGAACGACUGUGGUAGUUUCUCUGAAACAGCUUCAACAUGUUUAUAUAUUAUAUAAUAUAUAUAAAGCAGCUUCUACUGUGAUUGAAAGUUCUUUUGUCGUACAAAUGUACAAUAUAUUAUAAUUUAUAGAUAAAUUCUUCAUGCCUACACAAUAAUACGUAAAUUUACCUGGAAGAAUUCACAAUAAUAUUAUAUUGUAUAAUUUACAGAGAGAUUAACACAUUUUUUAAUAUUGAUACAUUAUAUA